UGGGGAAUAUUGCACAAUGGGCGAAAGCCUGAUGCAGCAACGCCGCGUGGGUGAUGAAGGUUUUCGGAUUGUAAAGCCCUGUCUUUUGGGACGAUAAUGACGGUACCAAAGGAGGAAGCCACGGCUAACUACGUGCCAGCAGCCGCGGUAAUACGUAGGUGGCGAGCGUUGUCCGGAUUUACUGGGCGUAAAGGGUGCGUAGGCGGAUAUUUAAGUGGGAUGUGAAAACCCCGGGCUUAACCUGGGGACUGCAUUUCAAACUGGAUAUCUGGAGUGCAGGAGAGGAAAGCGGAAUUCCUAGUGUAGCGGUGAAAUGCGUAGAGAUUAGGAAGAACACCAGUGGCGAAGGCGGCUUUCUGGACUGUAACUGACGCUGAGGCACGAAAGCGUGGGUAGCAAACAGGAUUAGAUACCCUGGUAGUCCACGCCGUAAACGAUGAGUACUAGGUGUAGGAGGUAUCGACCCCUUCUGUGCCGCAGUAAACGCAAUAAGUACUCCGCCUGGGAAGUACGAUCGCAAGAUUAAAAC
rnacentral:rRNA from 1 species